UGCAGAGCAAUCAGAGAUGCCAGAUUUCGCCACUUAGUAACUGCGAGUUAGUUGUUAGCUAUUUCGUAUUCUAGCUGUGUGUGCCGAGCAAUAAAAAACUAAGAUUUUACACACUUUUUUGAAAGCGCUCAGCACUGGCUUACUCUUCAACCUACAACGGAGCCGAAUCUGUGUGUAGAAGAGUUCACGUCGGUGUCUCCACAAGUAGCACAACCUCGAGAAGUACAAAUAAAACGGGUUCAAGCCCUUAUCGCAGCGACGCGCACUUGAGACACACGUCGACGUCCACCAGCAACUAUAAUUGCGAUCGAGAUCCAUAUCUGUCAUCCAGGAGUCACCGAACAACGCUACACCUUCGACCAGACCAAGAAAGAAUGAGAAUCAACCUCCCAUGGUUGACUCUAGCUCUGACAGCGGAGAUGAGAUAACCGAAGAACAUAAUAAUGAUGAAAUAUGAUCAUAACAGAAUAUUAAUGUAACAAAAGAGUUUAAAAAAAAUAU